CUUCAACGACCCCAACCACAGCGGAUCGCCCUCCGGACGCCCCUGCCCAUACGUCGCCAGCAGCGCCUGCGCCUC
rnacentral:antisense_RNA from 1 species